CACACACAAGAGAGAGAGAAAGAGUGUUUAUGAGAGAUGUUUGAAGACGAUGUACACGAUGAGAGCAAUAUUGAGGCUUUAAUGGCUAGCAACGACAUUUCAUCUCUCACUAUUAGUAAGCAAAUUUCAGUUGUUUCAUCUGUAUCAUGUUCUCUCUAUAGAUGUUUUGAUGGGUAAAGUGAUACGAGAUUAUAGGUCUGGAGUUAGGUUUAAUGGGUUUUCAAAUUGAGUGAGUCGAAUUUUAUUUAAGUAGGUUGGGUAAAAUAUUAAAUAGGAAGUAAAAUUUUAAUUAUAUUAUAAAUAUAUCCAUGUAGGAGCCAUGUAAGUGCCACCAUAUGAUAAUAAAAGUGGUGAAUUAACUGACCAAGGGUAUUAUGUGCCCAAAGUUAGAUGACAAGGGAAAAUAUAUCAAAAAAAUAUGAAUAAGGGUAAAUACAACUUUUUCUAAGAGUAUAAGGGCAAAUAUGACCCUUUUUAGUUUUUUCUAAUCUGUUUCAGAUUCUAUUUUCUUUAUUGGUUUUAAGUUUCUAGUUAUUAAAAUACUCUUUAAACUUUAUUGUUUCUUAUCAAGUUCUUCAAAGUUAUUGUUCUAAGUAUCUUAGGAAUACAAAAUGAACAACAAUCUUAAAGAAAUUAUAUUACUGUUGGUAUUUUUUGUAUUUUACUGAUUGAGAAUCGGAAAACGGAUGACGAAACUUGCAGAUUAUUACAAUACUUCUCCAAAAUUUGGUGCCUUGUUUAGGCCAAAGUGAUAAUUUACAAGAAGGAUUGGUGGUGUUCCGAUUGAAGAUUACAAUGUAACCUUCUUAUAUUUACCUAAGGAG
rnacentral:lncRNA from 1 species